UGGGGAAUCUUGCGCAAUGGGCGAAAGCCUGACGCAGCGACGCCGCGUGGGGGAUGAAGGCCCUCGGGUUGUAAACCCCUUUCGGCAGGGACGAAGCGAACGUGACGGUACCUGCAGAAGAAGUCCCGGCUAACUACGUGCCAGCAGCCGCGGUAAGACGUAGGGGACGAGCGUUGUCCGGAUUCAUUGGGCGUAAAGAGCGCGUAGGCGGCCGUGCAAGUCGGAUGUGAAAAUCCGGGGCUCAACCCCGGACGUGCAUCCGAUACUGCUCGGCUAGAGGUAGGUAGGGGAGAUCGGAAUUCCUGGUGUAGCGGUGAAAUGCGCAGAUAUCAGGAGGAACACCGGUGGCGAAGGCGGAUCUCUGGGCCUUACCUGACGCUCAGGCGCGAAAGCUAGGGGAGCGAACAG
rnacentral:rRNA from 1 species